AGAUGUGUGGGCCAUCUGGCUGCUGUGACAUCUGUCACCCCAUUGAUCACCAGGGUUGAUUCGGCUGAUCUAGCUGGCUGGGUGGGUGAGGUGUCCCUUCCUCCCUCAGUGUUCUCUGUGUGUCCCUCCAGAAGCUUCACGCUUAGUAGAAGAGGACCACCUCCCCAGAUAAAGACCUUUCCUAGGCCAAGGGUCGAGGAGUAGUUGUAUUCCCCUGCCAGAACCACCAAACAAAAGAACUUCAAAUUAAAGGAGUUCAGCUCCUUUACACCAUCUCCAGUGAUUCACAUCUGAAUGUAGAAU
rnacentral:snRNA from 1 species